ACUCCCUACGGGGAGGCAAGCCAGUGGGAUAUUGCACAAUGGGCGCAAGCCUGAUGCAGCCAUGCCGCGUGUGUGAAGAAGGCCUUCGGGUUGUAAAGCACUUUUCAGUCGUGAGGAAGGUAGUGUAGUUAAUAGCUGCAUUAUUUGACGUUAGCGACAGAAGAAGCACCGGCUAACUCCGUGCCAGCAGCCGCGGUAAUACGGAGGGUGCGAGCGUUAAUCGGAAUUACUAGGGCGUAAAAGCGCAUGCAGGUGGUUUGUUAAGUCAGAUGUGAAAAGCCCGGGGACUCAACCUCGGAAUAGCAUUUGAAACUGGACAGACUAGAGUACUGUAGAGGGGGGUAG
rnacentral:rRNA from 1 species